AUUGAACGCUGGCGGCAUGCCUUACACAUGCAAGUCGAACGGUAACAGGUCUUCGGAUGCUGACGAGUGGCGAACGGGUGAGUAAUGCAUCGGAACGUGCCCAGUAGUGGGGGAUAGCCCGGCGAAAGCCGGAUUAAUACCGCAUACGACCUGAGGGUGAAAGGGGGGGAUCGCAAGACCUCUCGCUAUUGGAGCGGCCGAUGUCAGAUUAGCUAGUUGGUGGGGUAAAGGCCUACCAAGGCAACGAUCUGUAGUUGGUCUGAGAGGACGACCAGCCACACUGGGACUGAGACACGGCCCAGACUCCUACGGGAGGCAGCAGUGGGGAAUUUUGGACAAUGGGCGCAAGCCUGAUCCAGCAAUGCCGCGUGCAGGAAGAAGGCCUUCGGGUUGUAAACUGCUUUUGUCAGGGAAGAAAUCUUCUGGGUUAAUACCUCGGGAGGAUGACGGUACCUGAAGAAUAAGCACCGGCUAACUACGUGCCAGCCGCCGCAGUAACAC
rnacentral:rRNA from 1 species